UACGGGGGAGCAAGCGUUGUUCGGAUUUACUGGGCGUAAAGGGCGCGUAGACGGCCAGCACAAGUCAGUUGUGAAAUCUCCGAGCUUAACUCGGAAAGGUCAACUGAUACUGUGCGGCUAGAGUGCGGAAGGGGCAACUGGAAUUCUUGGUGUAGCGGUGAAAUGCGCAGAUAUCAGGAGGAACACCGGUGGCGAAGGCGGAUCUCUGGGCCUUACCUGACGCUCAGGCGCGAAAGCUAGGGGAGCGAACAGG
rnacentral:rRNA from 1 species